rnacentral:lncRNA from 1 species
CCACCGCCGCCAAUAUCCCACGCUGGGCGGGCAGAUCUGGCAACGACGGGCAGUCGGUGCCCAUGUGGCGCGCUCAAGGGCUGAAGGAGCCUCGUGUCGCGGUGCCCGGCACGGCACGACUCCGGCGCACUUCGGUUCAGCUGGUGGUGGCUGGGGAUGGUGGUGAGGAUGCGCUCACUGCUCCCUCCCGGUGGCCUACUCCGAUUCGGCGACCUUCCUUGCUUCGCUC